rnacentral:rRNA from 1 species
UACGGAGGGUGCGAGCGUUGUCCGGAAUCAUUGGGCGUAAAGGGCGCGUAGGUGGCCCGGUCAGUUCGUGGUGAAAGCGCGGGGCUCAACCCUGCGUCGGCCAUGAAUACUGCCGCGGCUGGAGCACUGUAGAGGCAGGCGGAAUUCCGGGUGUAGCGGUGGAAUGCGUAGAGAUCCGGAAGAACACCGGUGGCGAAGGCGGCCUGGCUGGGCAGUUGCUGACACUGAGGCGCGACAGCGUGGGGAGCAAACAGG